rnacentral:misc_RNA from 1 species
AUAAUCUCGACGGCCUCCUCACGCGCGACCGACGCGAGCAGUAUUGCUCCGCCACACGAAGGACAUUGUAGAUAGUCGAGUAACUUGCGCUUCAUAAAUUCCAACCGCCAGGGCGCCCGAGACGCGAUGGAGGAAAUCUCUUAGGAACAAAAGAGACAGGAUACUAGUUGUCUGGAUUUAUUGUCAGGCUGCCGACCAGAUAUGCAACCUCGCCUGUGUUUGACUGGAGCUUGAGAGUGUAGUCUCCCGGCGGCGUAUUCGCGGCGACGGUGACAGUAAAACUAAUAACCGGCGUGGACCUGUGAAACUCUUCGCGGGUCAAACUAGCAGGAUCAAUGCUCAUCAGGGGUGAACUAAAAACCAGACCAUUG